GACGAACGCUGGCGGCGUGCCUAAUACAUGCAAGUAGAACGCACAGUUUAUACCGUAGCUUGCUCCACCAUAGACUGUGAGUUGCGAAGGGGUGAGGAACGCGUAGGUAACCUGCCUGGGAGCGGGGGAUAACUAUUGGAAACGAGAGCUAAGACCGCAUAAUAUUAAUUAUGGCAUGAUAAGUAAUGGAAAGUGGCAAGUGCACAGCUACCAGAGGGACCUGCGUUUGAUUAGCUAGUAGGGGAGGUAAGUGAUCAUCGAGGCGAGGAUACAUAGCCGACCUGCAAGGCUGCUCUGCCACGCUGGGACUGGAACACGGCCCACCCCCCUGCGGCAGGCACACGUCGGGGACCUUCGGCAAUGGCAGCAAGUCUGACCGAGCAACGCCGCGUGAGUGCCGAAGGCUGUCGGAUCGUAUAGCUCUGUUGUAAGAGAAGAACGGGUGUGAGAGUUGAACGUUCACACUGUGACGGUAUCUUACCAGAAAGCUACGGCUAACUCCGUG
rnacentral:rRNA from 1 species